UACUUAUCAAGAGAGGCGGAGGGACUGACCCGAUGAAGCCCGGCAACCUGUUAUACUUUUGUUUUGCUAUUUAAGGCUAAAUAAAAACAAAAGGCUAUCUAAACAAGGUGCUAAUUUCAGCAGAGCAAAUGCUCUGGCAGAUAAGUG
rnacentral:ncRNA from 2 species